UGGGGAAUAUUGCACAAUGGGCGGAAGCCUGAUGCAGCGACGCCGCGUGAGGGAUGACGGCCUUCGGGUUGUAAACCUCUUUCAGUAGGGACGAAGCGCAAGUGACGGUACCUACAGAAGAAGCACCGGCCAACUACGUGCCAGCAGCCGCGGUAAUACGUAGGGUGCGAGCGUUGUCCGGAUUUACUGGGCGUAAAGAGCUCGUAGGCGGUUUGUCACGUCGUCUGUGAAAACCCGAGGCUUAACCUCGGGCCUGCAGGCGAUACGGGCAGACUUGAGUACUGUAGGGGAGACUGGAAUUCCUGGUGUAGCGGUGGAAUGCGCAGAUAUCAGGAGGUACACCGGUGGCGAAGGCGGGUCUCUGGGCAGUAACUGACGCUGAGGAGCGAAAGCGUGGGUAGCGAACAGG
rnacentral:rRNA from 1 species